GUAGUCUCGCACAGAUGCAUAUCAAUAAGCGGAGGAAAAGAAACUAACAAGGAUUCCCCUAGUAACGGCGAGUGAAGCGGGAAGAGCUCAAAUUUGAAAUCUUAAAGGGUUUCCCUUUACGAAUUGUAGUUUAAAGAAGUGUUUUCUGUUGAGGUUUUGGUAAAAGUUCUUUGGAGUAGGACAUCAUAGAGGGUGAGAAUCCCGUAUUUGACCUUUACUUUCAACUUUGUGAUACACUUUCAAAGAGUCGGAUUGUUUGGGAAUGCAGUCCAAAAUGGGUGGUAAAUUUCAUCUAAAGCUAAAUAUUGGCGAGAGACCGAUAGCGAACAAGUACCGUGAGGGAAAGAUGAAAAGAACUUUGAAAAGAGAGUUAAACAGUACGUGAAAUUGUCAAAAGGGAAGCGUUUGACACCAGUGUUGUUUUUCUGAAAAUCAAUUAAAGAACUGUUUAUGCUAAGCUGUUUAGACUUUAUCAGCUAUCUGUUUAGUUUUGAGCUUUUCUUUAAUGCACUUUUCAGUUAACAAGUCAACAUCAAUUUCUUUUGCUGUAAAAAAGCUUGAGGAAGGUGGCUUGAGAUUCGUCUUAAGUGUUUAUAGCCUCUUGCCUAUGCAGUCGGAGAGAUUGAGGUCUGCAGCGUAGAUCCUUCGGGGCUAAAUGCAUUUGUGCUAAGUUAUAGCAUUUUAUAGACAACUUGUUGACUAUGAUCUGUCUUGUAGCUUACUCGCUUAUGUUAUUUUACCUACGCUUAGGAUGUUGAUCUGUAGUGCGUGCGC
rnacentral:rRNA from 1 species